rnacentral:lncRNA from 1 species
AGCCUUCUUGGAAUGCCUACUAUGUGCCAGACAUGAAAGCAGAUGCUUUUUUCAAAUACUUCUGUCGGAUGAACUUUCUUAUUAUUGUGGUACAGAUGAGGAGGCAAAAUCAUUUGUCUAAGACCCCACUGUUUCAGCUGCAAGCUUUCGUGGCUCCUCAGUUUGCAUUUUUUCCUCACUGCAGUAUCACUUUGUGAAGGAGGUCUGAAGUCUUCAAAUGAAAAUAGAGUUUUCUCCUUAUAUUUUACUUUCUCCAGCUGCAAAGCUGAAGGCAAAGCUGAAGAAUCCUGGACACUCUCCUUUGUUCAAAUAAAACUUCUAUUUACACAGGAUUUGCUAAAGGAGUACAAGGAAAUGGCAGAGAUAGCAUUAAGCUCACACAGCAGUUCCGGAAAGCGCCCCUUCAUUGUUCUCAGGCUCGUACCUGCAGUAACAGGGCCUAUAGGCUUUGAACACAAGACAACUGAGUUCGGAACCUCAGAAGAAUUCUGGAUAUGGUACAAAAAAAUUCAGGUUCAAAUUCCUGUUGUGCUCAAGUUUAGAUAUACGAUGAUCAUUGCUUUUUAAACCUGCUGGGGCUUAUUUUUUCAUCUGCGAUAUAAAGAUGAUUAUACUAAUUUCUUCAAAGGAUGACAUGAGCAGGAAAUGAGCUAAUGUAUGGAGACAGUUUCAUGAACUGUCCAGCACUCUACAUAUAUAAGAGGUAAUGACUGUUUUUCCUAGCCCAUGUACUUCAGGUCUCGGCUGUCCCUCUCCUGCCCUCAGGUCUGGCAAACCCCACCUAUCAACUAGCCAUGGCUGCUGUGCUGUUUCAGGGCCCUGCUUGAUGAUCCAAGCGGAUGUGGGGUCUUCCUAAAGACAAUGCAUUGUGAUUGUGACCAGAAGGAAACUUAAGUCCAAGUCCUCAGUGAAUUAUCUGGGACUCAGUGUCUUCAGCUGUAAAAUAAAGUUAUUGACUACAUUUUGAAAUUCCGUUAUAGAAAUGCCUGCCCCAUAAGCAGGCAUGAUUUAUAUUGGGGCACUGUAUCUGUCUCCCGUAUGAAGAAAAAAGCUUAUAGUUCAUUCUUUUUCUUCCCUGGGUUUUUGAGUCUAAGCCCUUAUUUUCCACAAGCUGGGAAACUGGAAGAAGGGAAACACCGCAAUAAAUCUGCUGAAUUAGCCACCACCCCUUUCUCCUCAUCCCCACCAGGCUUGGGAGCCUGAACCACCUACAGGCCUCCCCACCCUUCCUAAGGAGAACAGGAGCCACUUAUCAGCUCCAGCUUUGGAGCUUUGCAAGC